AGAGUUUGAUCCUGGCUCAGAUUGAACGCUGGCGGAACGCUUUACACAUGCAAGUCGAACGGUAACGUGGGGAGGAGCUUGCUCCACCCCGACGACGAGUGGCGAACGGGUGAGUAAUACAUCGGAACGUGUCCGCUCGUGGGGGACAACCAGCCGAAAGGUUGGCUAAUACCGCAUGAGUUCUACGGAAGAAAGAGGGGGACCCGCAAGGGCCUCUCGCGAGCGGAGCGGCCGAUGACUGAUUAGCCGGUUGGUGAGGUAACGGCUCACCAAAGCAACGAUCAGUAGCUGGUCUGAGAGGACGACCAGCCACACUGGGACUGAGACACGGCCCAGACUCCUACGGGAGGCAGCAGUGGGGAAUUUUGGACAAUGGGCGCAAGCCUGAUCCAGCUAUUCCGCGUGUGGGAUGAAGGCCCUCGGGUUGUAAACCACUUUUGUAGAGAACGAAAAGACAUCUUCGAAUAAAGGAUGUUGCUGACGGUACUCUAAGAAUAAGCACCGGCUAACUACGUGCCAGCAGCCGCGGUAAUACGUAGGGUGCGAGCGUUAUCCGGAUUUAUUGGGCGUAAAGGGCUCGUAGGCGGUUCGUCGCGUCCGGUGUGAAAGUCCAUCGCCUAACGGUGGAUCUGCGCCGGGUACGGGCGGGCUGGAGUGCGGUAGGGGAGACUGGAAUUCCCGGUGUAACGGUGGAAUGUGUAGAUAUCGGGAAGAACACCAAUGGCGAAGGCAGGUCUCUGGGCCGUCACUGACGCUGAGGAGCGAAAGCGUGGGGAGCGAACAGGAUUAGAUACCCUGGUAGUCCACGCCGUAAACG
rnacentral:rRNA from 1 species